AAGGUAGCGAAAUUCCUUGUCGGGUAAGUUCCGACCUGCACGAAUGGCGUAACGAUGGCGGCGCUGUCUCCACCCGAGACUCAGUGAAAUUGAAAUCGCUGUGAAGAUGCAGUGUAUCCGCGGCUAGACGGAAAGACCCCGUGAACCUUUACUAUAGCUUUGCACUGGACUUUGAAUUUGCUUGUGUAGGAUAGGUGGGAGGCUUUGAAGCGUGGACGCCAGUUCGCGUGGAGCCAUCCUUGAAAUACCACCCUGGCAACUUUGAGGUUCUAACUCAGGUCCGUUAUCCGGAUCGAGGACAGUGUAUGGUGGGUAGUUUGACUGGGGCGGUCUCCUCCUAAAGAGUAACGGAGGAGUACGAAGGUGCGCUCAGACCGGUCGGAAAUCGGUCGUAGAGUAUAAAGGCAAAAGCGCGCUUGACUGCGAGACAGACACGUCGAGCAGGUACGAAAGUAGGUCUUAGUGAUCCGGUGGUUCUGAAUGGAAGGGCCAUCGCUCAACGGAUAAAAGGUACUCCGGGGAUAACAGGCUGAUACCGCCCAAGAGUUCAUAUCGACGGCGGUGUUUGGCACCUCGAUGUCGGCUCAUCACAUCCUGGGGCUGAAGCCGGUCCCAAGGGUAUGGCUGUUCGCCAUUUAAAGUGGUACGCGAGCUGGGUUUAGAACGUCGUGAGACAGUUCGGUCCCUAUCUGCCGUGGACGUUUGAGAUUUGAGAGGGGCUGCUCCUAGUACGAGAGGACCGGAGUGGACGAACCUCUGGUGUUCCGGUUGUCACGCCAGUGGCAUUGCCGGGUAGCUAUGUUCGGAAAAGAUAACCGCUGAAAGCAUCUAAGCGGGAAACUUGCCUCAAGAUGAGAUCUCACUGGGACCUUGAGUCCCCUGAAGGGCCGUCGAAGACUACGACGUUGAUAGGUGGGGUGUGUAAGCGCUGUGAGGCGUUGAGCUAACCCAUACUAAUUGCCCGUGAGGCUUGACCAUAUAACACCCAAGCAAUU
rnacentral:rRNA from 1 species